UGAUGGUGAUAAGGACAAUUUCUGAGUAUGCCCUUAAAUCUCUCCCAAGCUUGGUAAAGAUUUUCUCUAUUUUUCUGUCUAAAACUUAAUCUCACUCCUUAAUCA
rfam:Capsicum annuum cultivar Zunla-1 chromosome 11, whole genome shotgun sequence